GCGGCACCUCCCGUCCUCCGCCGUCCCCUCCCUCAGUCCCGCUUGGCGGCCGCCGCGGCAGCACCCGCGGAGCCGGAGCCGCUCUGGGUAGCGCUGCCUCAUCCUCCUCUUCCUCCUCAGCUCCGCUAUCCCCCGGGCACGAUGCAGUUUAUGUUGCUUUUUAGUCGCCAGGGGAAACUGAGACUCCAGAAGUGGUAUGUCCCAUUAUCUGACAAAGAAAAGAAGAAAAUCACAAGGGAACUUGUUCAAACGGUAUUAGCCCGCAAACCGAAAAUGUGCAGUUUCCUCGAAUGGAGAGACCUGAAGAUUGUCUACAAAAGAUAUGCAAGUCUCUAUUUCUGCUGUGCUAUUGAAGAUCAGGACAACGAACUAAUAACUCUGGAAAUAAUUCAUCGCUAUGUAGAACUUCUUGACAAGUAUUUUGGCAGUGUAUGUGAACUUGAUAUCAUCUUCAAUUUUGAAAAAGCCUAUUUCAUUCUGGAUGAGUUCCUUUUAGGAGGGGAAGUUCAGGAGACUUCCAAGAAAAAUGUUCUUAAAGCCAUCGAACAAGCAGAUCUUUUACAGGAGAGCCAGAAUGAAGACUGGGGAGGUUUGUCUGAGGAUAUCUUAUGAUUAAGAGCAUUCUAAGGCAUUAGCCCUUUUGACCCCCAUCUAAAUGAUUGGAAGCAGAGACCCCUCGUAGUGUACUUGAAGAAAUCGGAUUGACAUAAAUCUUCAGCUGAUGCCAUCUCAGUGUUUCAUACUGUAAAUGUUCACUGCCAUCAUUGUAAUGUUUAGCUAAUGGUGUAAGAUGCUGUUUGUCAGUAUUACUGUUUUGCUAAGCUGCUUCUUUCAGGCCUACAAGAAAAAAUACUUCUUUUUAAAAAGGGAACAAGAAACCGAAGUUCAAAAUUUAUAAUGAAAGGGAAUUAGAUUUAAAUUGACUCAGUGUCUCCCUUCACUGCAUUUAUAGGAAAAUUGCAUUUGACUUCGAUAAGUGUACUGUUUUUUAUAAGGAAACUUGACUUCAGGAAAUAAAUGUAUUAUUAUGACAUAGCAUAGCAUAUCUAAAUGAAAAGAAACUACACAGACAACUCCAAAUAUGAAAUGUCAUGGUGUGGAAAUUGUGUUUAUGCAACCAAAGAAUUUGUUCAUCUACAUUUUAGUCACCACUUAUGAUAAUUCUGCUUAUUUCAGUUGUUGCAUAAAGAAUGGAAAUAUCUGUUAACUACUGAAUUUGUCAUUAUACCAAAGAAUCCUGCCAGGAUCUGCAUAUCAAACUGGUAAAAACUGUUAAGGUGAUAACUGCUUUUUGCAAGAAAACUGCAAAGUGAUUCGCUCACUAGACGUGAGGGUGUAUUUUAGUGUAGCUACCUUGAGCAAAACUGUACAAGUUACUGUACUCAAAAGGGAAUGCAUGGAGGAAAGAAGGAAAAAAACUCAGAACAAAUAAGGAAACUGUUUUUAGGUCUGAUAUUAGCUUUCUCUGACCAUGAACACAGGAAAGGAGCUUUCUGACUGAAUAGAGGGAUUUGCAUGAUGAAAAUCAAAUACUUUCAAAGAUGGGGAAGACGGAGUUUUACAAAAGGGACUUUUUAUUAUUUUCUUUCCAGGUUUACCAAUUACUUUGUAUUUUUGGUGUUUUAUAGUUAAGCUUCAAUGGGUGUAUAGGUACCUGUAGGAAAAAGGCCACACUAAGUGUCAAUGUCAUUUAACUGCUUUUCUUGUUUUACACCUUAAACGUGGCACAUCCCUUAGGAAACUCCUGUGUGAUAUACAGUUGAACCAACUAAUUUGCAGUGAGAGCUCUUAGGUAUUAGAUUUGUAUAGUAUAUUCAUUGCAAAUGUAAACUGAUAUCCAGUAAUAUUUUGACACUUUGAGCAGACUUUCAGUAAUUCUAAACUAAACCUGCUUUGGUUGAGGAAAUUCCACUGACGUGUGGUUUUGAGGAGGUAGGGCUGCACUUGGGAGCUGCCAAGUUCUGCUGUGUGUCUUCAUGCUCCCCGUGGAGGUGGGAUCAUCCCUUCCCUCCCCAGGAAUCUUGCUCUAGGAGUUGUGGCUUGUUCACUGCAUAGUGCCACAUUUUCACAAAGCUUGGCUCUGGCAGUGCUGAUGGCAGCAGCACUUCCGUGGCCAGCUGGAGAGCUGGGCUGUGGGCUUGAUGGGAUCACAGUCAAGUAGCACCGAACAGGAAAAGUGCAGUGUUGCCACUUCCAAGGCUCCUGAUCCAGAUCCCAGCAUAAAUGCUUGUGGCAGCAGAAGGGCCAGCCAGGGCAGGGCUGUGUGUACUACUCCUGUGGCAGUAUCGGGGUGGUACACGUGAACUCGGGGCAUUAGAAGUUGUCUACUUAUGCCCGUUCUAGGAUUUACACUUGCAGAUUCCAGAUUGCUGGAGGCUGUUUUUGUCCCAGGGCAUCUCCCCAGUGCACAGUGGGCAGGAAUAGGUGAGGGUGAGAUCGCAGUGGAAUGACCCUGUGUGUGAGAUUGACUUAAAUUAAGGUAAUUUUACUUCAAACCAGAAGCAAUUUUAUAUGUUUUAAACAUGUUUUUAAAGUUUACACUGUCACUUGUAUGUGCUUGGCUGAAUUAAGCUUUGUUGUGAUUGUGACAAACUGUUUGACCUCUGUCUGUCACAUUGAUUUAGUUGUAAUAAAUGUCCAUUUUUACACCAUU